GCGGUAUCCUGACCGUGCUAAGGUAGCAUAAUCACUUGCCGUUUAAUUGAUGGCUGGAAUGAAUGAAUAUACGAGAGCUCAACUGUCUCAUUUUUACCAAUAUAAAUUGACCCUCAAGUGAAGAGACUUGAAUUUUAAAAAAAGACGAAAAGACCCUAUAGAGCUUUACCUGAACUCUAUAUAUUUUAGAACUAAGGUUUAGUUGGGGCAACUAGAGAGUAUCUAAAACCUCUCUUCUAGUAAAUUGAUAGGAUCCGCUUUUGCGAUAAGAAGAAAAAGCUACCUUAGGGAUAACAGGCUAAUCCUCUUUAAGAGACCAUAUUGACAAGAGGGAUUGGCACCUCGAUGUUGGCUUAGGA
rnacentral:rRNA from 1 species